rnacentral:miRNA from 1 species
CCUAUGUUGCAUUUUUCAAUGU